CCUACGGGAGGCAGCAGUGAGGAAUAUUGGUCAAUGGACGAGAGUCUGAACCAGCCAAGUAGCGUGAAGGAUGACUGCCCUAUGGGUUGUAAACUUCUUUUAUAUGGGAAUAAAAUGUUCCACGUGUGGGAUUUUGUAUGUACCAUAUGAAUAAGGAUCGGCUAACUCCGUGCCAGCAGCCGCGGUAAUACGGAGGAUCCGAGCGUUAUCCGGAUGUAUUGGGUUUAAAGGGAGCGUAGGUGGAUUGUUAAGUCAGUUGUGAAAGUUUGCGGCUCAAACGUAAAAUUGCAGUUGAAACUGGCAGUCUUGAGUACAGUAGAGGUGAGCGGAAUUCGUGGUGUAGCGGUGAAAUGCUUAGAUAUCACGAAGAACUCCGAUUGCGAAGGCAGCUCACUGGACUGCAACUGACGCUGAGGCUCGAAAGUGUGGGUAUCAAACAGGAUUAGAUACCCGUGUAGUC
rnacentral:rRNA from 1 species